rnacentral:rRNA from 1 species
UAAGCAUAUCAAUAAGCGGAGGAAAAGAAACCAACAGGGAUUGCCCUAGUAACGGCGAGUGAAGCGGCAACAGCUCAAAUUUGAAAUCUGGCUCCGGCCCGAGUUGUAAUUUGCAGAGGAAGCUUCUGGUGAUAUACUGUCUAAGUCCCCUGGAACGGGGCGCCACAGUGGGUGAGAGCCCCAUAUGACAGCUGUAGAUCCUGUGUGAAGCUCCUUCGACGAGUCGAGUAGUUUGGGAAUGCUGCUCAAAAUGGGAGGUAAAUUCCUUCUAAAGCUAAAUAUUGGCCAGAGACCGAUAGCGCACAAGUAGAGUGAUCGAAAGAUGAAAAGCACUUUGAAAAGAGAGUUAAACAGCACGUGAAAUUGUUGAAAGGGAAGCGCUUGUGACCAGACUUGCGCUGGGCUGAUCAUCCGGUGUUCUCACCGGUGCACUCGGCCCAGCUCAGGCCAGCAUCGGUUUUGGUGGGGGGAUAAAGGCGCUGGGAACGUAGCUCCCCCGGGAGUGUUAUAGCCCAGCGUGCAAUACCCCCGCUGGGACCGAGGUUCGCGCAUCUGCAAGGAUGCUGGCGUAAUGGUCAUCAGCGACCCGUCUUGAAACACGGACCAAGGAGUCAAGGUUUUGCGCGAGUGUUUGGGUGUCAAACCCGCACGCGUAAUGAAAGUGAACGUAGGUGAGAGCUUCGGCGCAUCAUCGACCGAUCCUGAUGUAUUCGGAUGGAUUUGAGUAGGAGCGUUAAGCCUUGGACCCGAAAGAUGGUGAACUAUGCUUGGAUAGGGUGAAGCCAGAGGAAACUCUGGUGGAGGCUCGCAGCGGUUCUGACGUGCAAAUCGAUCGUCAAAUCUGAGCAUGGGGGCGAAAGACUAAUCGA